rnacentral:lncRNA from 1 species
UUUUCCUUUCUUUACUUUUUAUUAUUAUUGCAAAAUUGGUUACUUCUUCAUAAAAAAGGAAUACAUUUUGCUUUUGUUGAGUAAUGCUCUAAUUAUCUGAGGUCUGGCAGUAAUUGGCUCAGACUGAUCAUGGCUGUCCACUCCAUGAAGGAGGCCAUAGCAACAAUGGGAAUUAGGUUAUGCUCUUAAAGGCAGGCACGCAGCAGGGAAGGAACAGAAGCUUCACAGAAAGCUGAAGGUGGUGGCUACUGCCCUGGAGCGUGACCUUUCUAAUGGUCAUGACCUUCUCUGCAAGGGUAAUUACCAUGUCCAUUGGUUAGCGAUGCAUCUUUCAUUUCUUCUCCACUUCCAUGCCCUUAAGUACCACAUAAUAAUAAGGAUAACAAACAGGGCUAGGAAAAGGGAGGGAACAUAAUCAUCUCACGUCUGCCCAAUGCUUUACAGUUUAUACCGUGCUUUUACACACCAUAUAGUUUAAUUAUAUGA